AUUGAACGCUGGCGGUAUGCUUAACACAUGCAAGUCGAACGGUAACAGGCCUUCGGGCGCUGACGAGUGGCGGACGGGUGAGUAACGCGUAGGAAUCUGCCUCAUAGUGGGGGACAACGUGGGGAAACUCACGCUAAUACCGCAUACGCCCUACGGGGGAAAGCGGGGGAUCUUCGGACCUCGCGCUAUGAGAUGAGCCUGCGUUAGAUUAGCUAGUUGGUAGGGUAAAGGUCUACCAAGGCGACGCUCUAUAGCUGGUCUGAGAGGACGAUCAGCCACACUGGGACUGAGACACGGCCCAGACUCCUACGGGAGGCAGCAGUGGGGAAUAUUGGACAAUGGGCGCAAGCCUGAUCCAGCAAUACCGCGUGUGUGAAGAAGGCCUUAGGGUUGUAAAGCACUUUCAAUAGGGAGGAAAACCUGCCGGUCAAUACCCGGUAGCUUGACAUUACCUAUAGAAGAAGCACCGGCUAACUCCGUGCCAGCCGCCGCGGUAACAC
rnacentral:rRNA from 1 species